CAGAGAGAGAGGGAGACACACAAUUCAGAGCAGGCUCCAGGCUCUGAACUGUCAGCACAGAGCCCGACGCGGGGCUCGAACCCACGAAUCGUGAGAUCAUGACCUGGGCCGAAGUCGGAUGCCCAACCGACUGAGCCACCCAGGCACCCCUUAAUUUUGUUUCUACUAAUAUUUGUGGAGAGGACGUUACAGGCCCAAUUUAAGAUACUUCUCUCUUUUUUUCUUCAGUUUCAGGAGAUUGUGGGCUGUGUUUACAUUUCAAAGACAUGAGAUUAUUAAUUUCAAGGGACAGAGAAUUUCAAAAGUAUUUUUUUAAAGAGUUUCAAGGUGAUUGUCAUUUAAAAUUUAUUUUUUGGGGGGGCCUGGGUGGCUCAGUCAGUUGAGUGUCCAACUCUUGAUUUUGGCUCAGGUCACGAUCCCAGGGUCGUGGGAUCAAGCCCCGUGUUGGGUCCACUCUGAGCACAGAGCCUGCUUGAGAUUCUCUUUCUGUCCCUCUGCCCCUCUCCCUGACUGCCCCUUGAAUAAAAGAGAAAAAAAAUUUUUUUAAGUAAAAUUUACCUUUUUAAGGUACAGAAUUUAGUUCCAAUAUCCUGAUCUUUUAUAAUACGUACACACAUUUUGAGAGGAAUAGGUAAGGUUUGGAGAUUGGUAAAGAUAGGUGAACUUUCACUUGUUUCUAGAGUUGUAGUUCUGGUUUUAGAGAGAUUUGUAAAAUAAAGGCAGUUAUUCCUAUUCCCCAAACACCUGGAUUAGAGCCUGAGUAUCAAGAGAUUGACUCACAUUUUUAACUAUCAGGGAGAACUUUAACUAAAAUGGGAACCAAGAGAUUUCUGCCUUUGUAAAGUAUGUAUGAAGCAUUUCAACAAGCAUUUUUCUGGAUACCAAAUUUACCCUUGGCUUCUGUUAGUCCCUAAACAUUGGCCUUUUGCAGUGUCAUUUGUAUAAGGGCCUAGGAGAAAUUUUGGUCAUCUAUUUCCUCAGUGAAGGGAAAGUUGUGAAUAUAGUCAAAUAGCCUUUCUGAUUACUUUCUGAAUUCAGUGGGGUCAUUUGAAAGUAGAGGUAAAAGGUACUUCAUAAUUUAAAAGAUCCGACGCUGUUCAGAGGAUGCAAAUUCUUUUGCAGGGGGUUGUCUAGGAUACACCUGCAAAGGACAUAGUACAGGAAUGCCUACUCUUCAGUAAACCCUGAUCACAGAGCCCUGGAAAGUAGGAGCAAAGCAAUCCUUAUUGCCAGUCUCAUGUGCUUUUGCUGAGAUUUUCUGGCUUUCAGCUUUUACAUGAGCAACCUUAGAGCCUAGAGAUUAGGCCAGAGUGAUCUCUGUAAAUCUUGUAGGGAAAGGGAAGUUAAAACAGGCAGGUGAGCCUGGAAUUUACUUUGGAUUGUGGAUAUUUAUUUUUAAAUCUUAAGGCUAAUUUCUGUUCUUUUAUCUGGUCAAGGGAGUCCCUGAGGCUAGCCAUUACUUAAUAAGACAAUUGAGAGCUUUUUUUUUUUUUUUAAAUCUAAAUAUAGCCUAUUUAAAGGAUCCAUUGUCUGGCCAUUGGUGAGUUGGAUCUAUUAAUAGCAACUCAAACCAAUACGCCUUUUAGUGGUUUAACCAAAGAUGCAAGAGGCAUCCAGAGGGCAUAAAUGAUGUAGCUCCCAUGGUCCAAAAGUUUACUCCUAAAAUUAGCCUAGGAAAGCCAAAGGCACAGGCGGCAAUAAGGGUGGUGUGGUGAAAAUGCCGUGUUCAGUCUCCCGCAAGAAUAUGCGAUGCCUCCAGUCCCAGAUCCGCUAAUCGAACGCCAAGCAGGUGCUCCUGGAAUGGGACUUUCCAGCGCUAAUCAAGCAAUGAAGGCUGAGAUGACACAGGUUCCUCUGGACUGGAACCUCUCAUGACAGAUACCCCUGAGAGCUGGCACAGCUGGACAGAGAGAAAGAGGCUUGGAUCCCCAGCCUAUUCAGCUGGCCACCAAGUGCACCCUCUGGAUGGUGGAAACCAAAGAGAAUAUUCCCAUUGGUCAUAAAGCCAAGCUCCUAGGACAUAGAACAAGAUAAAAGGAAAAAUCUAACAGCUUUGUCUAAGCCUUAGGUUUCCUUAAGCCACACUAAUAACUAAGAGGGAUGUGCUGUUGGUUUGGACACUGUUGUUUUAGAGUGUGCCUCAUUGCAGGUGGCAGGUGACCUAGUGUCUGUCUACCCUGUUCUGUGACCAGUUGGUCCUAUCAUAGGAGUCUUCCUGAGGGUCUAGCAGCUUUUAAGUGCUUGGCCCAUGCCCACCAAUUUUGUGGCUUUGGCUUCCGAGAUGGCCUUUAGCAACAGAUGACAGACAAAAGGCACAGCCGAAGGAAAACAAAGACCAUCUCUGGGAGGAAAUGGAUGAGUAACCAAUGUGUACUCUACCAAAUUUAACCAAAGAGUUGCUAAGCCCAAGGAACUAGUUCUACAAACCUUUUCUCCUGCUAAUCUCAAUUUAGAAAGCGAGUAAAGGACUCUUACCAGUGUUGCCCCAUCCACUCUGCAGGGGGAGAUUCCGGGAAGCUGAUGUGGUGGGAAAUCUCACUUUCUGUGGCUGCUUGUCAGUUGUCCUGGGAUCUGUCAGCCUCAGCAGUGUGCUGGGGAAUGGUGGCCAGCGAGUUAAAGCAUCUUGCCACCUACACCGACAGUCAGAUAGGAAUUCUUCCUGCCCUUCUGGCCGGACUGAGAAUCUAAUUAACAUGAGACCGCUUAACAGGAGAAAAAUCCAAUUUAAUAGCAUAUGUAUGGGGAAUCUACACAGAUACGGAAAUUCCAGAGACCGGCAAAAUGAAAUAUAUAUGUAGCUGGGGCCCAGGGGUAUAAGAGCACCUGGCUCCGGGAUCCCCAAACAGAUGAGGUUUAGCUGCUCACCCCUGACAAAAUCCAAAGGCAGAGAAACGAGAUGUGGUGAAACAAGGAAGGAAUUGAUUUCACUGAGACCACCAUGGGGAGGCCAGCAGACGAGCAUCUCAGACUGUCUCCAGAGUGCCAAAAGUACUUCCGGGUUUAUAUAAGAAAAAUGUGAGGCAAAGGUGGGCUGUGAAGGUCAACUCAGUCAUCAGUCAAGACCCGACAUGUUGGGGCCAGUCAUGUGGGGUCUUGCUGACUGAGGGCAGACCUUUUUGCUUGAGGGGGUGGUUUUGGUUCCCAUGAGUUAAGAGAUAAACUGGACAGAAGAACUGAAUCGCUUAGAAGGUUUGAGGUCAAAGUGGAGGUCGUUGAAGUUCUCCUCAAAUAUGUCGUUCUGAACUAAGGAGAAGGGGGCAGGGGUCUGGGACUUCUGAGGGAAGGAAUGCACUUCACAGGGCAAUGAGAGGAGUAGAUACCUAGUCGUUAGAUGUUUGGCCUGCCUUACAGAUGGGUCACUCAGAUAACAUUUAUCUUAGUGAGGGGUGCCUGGGUGGCUCAGUCAUUUGAGCAUCUGACUUUUGAUUUCAGCUUGGGUCAUGAUCCCAGGGUCGUGAGAUUGAGACCUGAUAUCGGCCUCCAUGCUGAGUGUGGAGCCUGCUUGGGAUUCUCUCUCCCUCUCUCCCCUCCCCAGCUUGCAUGCGCGUGCGUGCGCGCACACACACACAUGCUCCCCCCCCUCAAAUAAAUAAAAUAAGAGGACAACUCUGAUAGAAAAAAAUUUUUAUCUCAGGAAAUAACUCUUAGACCCCCACUCUAGAUUUUUCUGUGCAGUUAAGGGAGAGGCAGAAGUUUCUCUUGAGCCCUCAGGGUCCCCAUUGCCUUCAACUGAGAAUAAUCUUCAUACCAGAGUGGCCCAUCUUGGGGUGGCCUGCCUUCUGUCCCUACACCUUCUUUAGAAAUUUCAAGAGCAACUUACCUAAAACCUGAUAAUUGAUCCACGUCCUCUGGGAGAGUGUCUUAAUGUUCGUGGCCGUCUUGGACCUCAACCCUGCCAUACGUUAACAGUUUUACUAAUGACACAGGUGAAGCUAUGAAAAGCAUGCUUAUCAGGCUUUCUGAUGACUCUUGGCAGGAAGCGCUAAGGGAUAGUUGGAUAUAGUUGGAUGAUGGCUUCAGAAUUCAGAAAACUUAGUAGGUUGGAACAGUGGCUAAAUCUAACAAGAUGCAAUUUUACAGGAUAAUUUAAGAUUCUCUAUUUGAUUCAAAAUAACAACUGAACAAGCACGGGCCAGGAUUUAAAUGAAAUUACAGAUUGAUAUAAACUGGAAAGCAUUUAAGUCUUAAUCAUUUAGAAUAAGGACAGAUGUAUAUAUAAAGGAUGUCAUAAUGCUCUCAGAGUUUAUUAAAGUGAGUUCUGUUUUUUCUGACGAUCUUGUUGGUUAUGUAAAAAUGAGAUACAGAGAGGAGUUAAGUGGUGGAGGAGUGGGGGGCCCUAAGCUUGCCUCAUCCCUCAAACACAGCUAGAUAAAUGUCAAAUCAUUUUGAACACCCAAGAAAUUAAUCUGAGGACUGAGGGAGCAAAACUACACAACUAGAGGUGAAAAAAACCACACUGGGGAGGGUAGGGGCUGCAGAAGGUUGGUUUGGGGGAGAAGAGAACUGUGAAUGCUGCAGUGGGGAGGGAGCCCUGACCAUAGAGAAAGGAGAGAGAGAAAUAGUGAAAGCGUGCAUAGUGAGUCCCCAAAACCAUUGACUGGGAAAAGCAGAGGGGCUUCUGCCACACGUUGUCAUGAGCAGCAGAGCGCAGAGUCUGAAGCUUUACAAGUCUGCACCAUUGCUAGUGUCUGGCAGGUGGUGCUCCUGUGGGAAGGAGGGUGGAGACCCAGGGGUGGACAGUGUAGCCUGAGGAUCCCCUGGGUCACACGGGGAGAAACAGUUCCCCUGCUUGGAGUGCAUUUGGGAGUGGCGGCCUCUCUGGGGAUAGAAAGAACCAGUGGCACCAGUGUGCUGCCCAGUUUCCUAGCAUAGGAACAGAGACACCAGCUGAGGGCAGCACAUCUUGGCACCAACUUAGUGCAGAGCUUUACCAUAAACCCCCAACUGCUGCAUGAUCCUGUGACCGCUUUUCUGGGACAAACGGGCAAACAGCAAAAAGUGUGGCAGGACUCUCCCCCAGAGUAUCAGCGUGGGUCUGUGUCACGCAGGUAAAAUUUGGAGUUUGGAGUUUGGAAACCCAGCCGCAUGCCUGAGAUACAACACAGGAGUACUGUGCCACGCAGCAGGCAGGCAGCCUGGAUGCAGGCAGGGUGAAGGCAGGGUUUGCUUCUCUGUGAGGGCUUCCUAAAAACGUGGCAGGUGUGAGCUCCCGGCUCCGGGGACGAAAGAGCAGGAUGACACCAUUCCUUCCCUUCCCCAUCAGCGUUGACCGACUUCAGUGCCAUCCAGUGGAGGCUGGAGCUGCUUACACCAACACCCCCCCCCCCCGCACCCCCGACCUCCGCCUGUGCCCUGCAGGUGCAUCUCUACUAGAGCAAGUCCACCUGAGAAUCAGUCCAGCAGGUCCCACCCCCAGAAGACCUGUUCAGAUGCCUCACAGGCACCAAGUCUGAUGAUCAUAGAGUGCUGCAAAGCUUCACUUCUAGGGGAAUAGGAUCUAGCUUCCCUUUUUUUUUUUUUUUUUUUUUGGAUCUUCUUUUAUAGGCAGACCAAAACACACCUAGGAUCUAGCUUCCCACCACCCCCCAACCUUUUUUUUUUUUGACCUCUUAGUAAUAUAGCCGUUACAUUCAGGAGCAGGAAUACAACAGGCUUUCCUAACAAUCACACCAAAAAACUGACCCAGACAAAAUGACAAGAUGGAGGAAUUAACCCCAAAAGGAAGAACAGAAAGUCACGGUAAGGGAUUUAAUCAAUACAGAUACAAGGAAGAUGUCUGAACCAGAAUUUAAAACAGUAAUCAUACGGGUACUAGCUGGGAUUUGAGAAAAGCAUAGGAGACACUAAAGACUCCCACUGCAGAGAUAAAAGAAUUAAAAACUAGUCAGGCCGAAAUAAAAAAUGCUAUAACCGAGAUGCAAAGCUGAAUGGAUGCAAUGACAGUGAAGAUGGAUGAAGCAGAGGAACGAAUCCGUGAUAUAGAAAAUAAAAUUAUGGAAAAUAGUGAGGCUGAAAAGAAAGGGAAAGGUAUUGGAUCACAAAUGUAGACUUAAGGAACUCCGAGACUCCUUAAGGCAUAAUAACAUUUGUAGCAUUGGAGUCCUAGAAGAAGAAGAGAAAGAAAAAGGAGCAGAAGGUUUACUUGAGUAACUAUAGCUGACAACUUACCUAAUCCGGGGAAGAAAACAGACAUCGAAAUCCAGGAAGCACAGAGGACUUCCAUUAAAUUCAACAAUAGCCAGCCAUCAACAAGACAUAUCAUAGUCAGAUUCACAAGAUACACAGACAAGGAAAGAAUUCUGAAAGCAGCAAAGGAAAAAAAGUCCUUAACCUACAAGGGAAAACAGAUCAGGUUCACAGCAGAUCUGUCCAAGGAAACUUGGCAAGCCUGCAGGGAGUGACAUGAUCUGUUCAAUGUGCUGAAUGGGAAAAAUAUGCAGCCAAAAUACUUUAUCCACCAAGGCUGUCAUUCAGAAUAGAAGGAGAGAUAAAGAGUUUCCAAGACGAAAACUGAAGGAGUUUAUGACCACUAAACUAGCCCUGCAAGAAAUAUUAAAGGGCCUCUUUCAAUGGGGGGAAAAAAGACCAAGAGCAACAAAGACUAGAAAGGAACAGAGAACAUCACCAGAAACACCAACUCUACAGGUAACACAAUGGCACUAAAUUUAUAUCUUUCAGCAAUCAAUGUAAUGUAAAUGGACUAAAUGCUCCAAUCAAAAGACAUAGGAUAAGUGGAUAAAAUAACAAGUCCCAUCUGUAUGCUGCCUACAAGAGAUGCAUUUUGGACCUAUAGACAUCUGCAAAUUGAAAGGGGAUAGAGAACCAUGUAUCAUGCUAACGAACACUAAAAGAAAGCCAGAGUAGCCAUACUUAUAUCAGACAAACUAGAUUUUAAACCAAAGAUUGUAAUGAGAGAUGAAGAAGGGUAUUACAUCAAAAUUAAGGGGUCUAUCCAUCAAGAAGAUCUAACAGUUGUAAAUAUUUAUGCCCCCAACUUGAAAGUUCCCAAAUAUUUAAAUAUAUAAAUCAAUUAAUAACAAACAUAAAUUCAUUGGUAAGUUUCAAGAGUAAUAGGAGACUUUAACACCCCACUUACAACAAUGGAUAGAUCAUCUAAGCAGAAGAUCAACUAGGAAACAAUGGCAUUGAAUGACACACUGGACCAGAUGGACUUAACAGAUAUAUACAGAACAUUUCAUCCUAAAGCAGCAGAAUACAUAUUCUUUUUGAGUGCAUGUGAAACAUUCUCCAGAAUAGAUCACAUACUUGGUUUCAGAUCAGCCCUCAACAAGUAUAAAAAGACUGAGAUCAUACCAUGCGUAUUUUUAGACCACAACACUAUGAAACUUGGAAUAAGCCUCAAGAAAAAAUUUGGAAAGACCACAAAUACAUGGAGAUUAAAGAACAUCCUUCUCAAGAAUGAAUGGGUUGACCAGGAGAU